AAUGCUUUUUUCCAGAAGAGGCAUGAGCAUAGGGUGACUUAUAAGAGUGGAGGUAGGAGCACACAGGUAGACACUGUAAGAAAUAAUUCUGUGGUCAUGUAGAUUUGAAUUAAUUUAUCAGGUAAAAUAUAUUCAAUAUAAUUGUGUUUUUGGUUUUGAGGCAAAUAUUUAAUUUAAUUAAAUUUCAAAUAUAAAUGUUUGGAAUAAAAUCCACCCAUUGUAGUUAAAUAAAACAAGCAUUAUGUUUACCUAAUCCCAAAUAGACAGAAUAUUGAGUGAAUUCAAUCAGGGAAAUUUUAAUUGAAAAGCACUUCCUGUCAAAGUGCCCCCUUUUCUUUUUGAAUGCAGAAGGCUAUCAUCUAGCCACAAAACAUUUGAAGAGAGUGCAGACAGUGAAUGUUCGUCUUCUUCGACAUUGCUCAAAGGACUCAGUGCACUCGUCGGUUGAGAGGACCAGAGAGGUUGUCUUUCAGUGUCUUAUAGAAUACCUUGGAGAACAAUGGGGACAUCUCAUCAAAGAAUUCAACGACACUGAGAACUUGGAGGAACUUGAACAGCUCAUAAUGACAAUUAUUGUGACCCCAAAGCCUGGCGCUUCGACAAGCAACAGCCCAAAGAACAUUGGAAUUGUCAUAGAGGUCGUGGAAGUCAUCACAGGACUUGGAGAUAUUGCGAGGGCUUGCUCUGUCCUCCUUGGCCUGACCUACGCACUGAAUCUCGAUUAUCCCAAACAGCUGAAGUACAACUUUGAGGUAUUCCAAAAACUUUUCUUGGAACUGGAUGAUUCAAAGCUGUCAAACAAGGUCCAGUCCCUCAAGAGCAAACUUCUGGCUUGAAAUGAGACUGUAGUUGCAGUGCAGACUUUUGUGCUACACAAUGUCCAUCUACUACAGAGCUUGAGAAUUGCACAUUUGAAAGUGCUGCUAUGUUUGCAAGUUAGCACUGAUUUGGAAUCUUAUCCCACUAAUGUCAGUGACAUUUCUAUUGUGGUUAGUUCAAAGUACUUAAUGUGUUUUACUCCAUACAAAUUGUUUUGGUACAUGCACUUCUGGAGGAUUUUUCUUUAAGAUCAUUAUUAAUCCCAUUUAGUAGCUUAGUGAGGUGAGAAUGCAUGGACACACAUGUUUAUGGAUACAUCAUCAUUGUGUAAAAUGGAAUGUAUUUUUGUUUUUACAAAAAAAGUUUGGAGUCAGUAUUCUGUCUUAUUCAAAUUUCUGGUUUAAAAAUGCAAGAUCUUACGUCUGGCCUGAAAUGAGACUGUGGUUGCAGUGUACGCUGAUGUGCUACAAUGUGUUCGAAAGCACAAAAGUGAAUUGUUAAUAAAUGUGUUAUUUGAGUA